rnacentral:rRNA from 1 species
UACGUAGGUGGCAAGCGUUGUCCGGAUUUACUGGGCGUAAAGGAUGCGUAGGCGGACAUUUAAGUCAGAUGUGAAAUACCCGAGCUUAACUUGGGUGCUGCAUUUGAAACUGGGUGUCUAGAGUGCAGGAGAGGUAAGUGGAAUUCCUAGUGUAGCGGUGAAAUGCGUAGAGAUUAGGAAGAACACCAGUGGCGAAGGCGGCUUCCUGGUCUGCGACUGACGCUGUGGCGCGAAAGCUAGGGGAGCAAACGGG